rnacentral:rRNA from 1 species
GAUGAACGCUGGCUACAGGCUUAACACAUGCAAGUCGCGGGGCAGCAUGGGGGUUGCUUGCAAUCCCCGAUGGCGACCGGCGCACGGGUGAGUAACGCGUAUCCAACCUGCCCUUCACCACGGGAUAACCCGGCGAAAGUCGGACUAAUACCGUAUGUUGUCCAUUGACGGCCUCCGAUUUGGACGAAAGGUUUUGCGGUGAAGGAUGGGGAUGCGUCCGAUUAGCUGGACGGCGGGGUGACGGCCCACCGUGGCGACGAUCGGUAGGGGUUCUGAGAGGAAGGUCCCCCACACUGGAACUGAGACACGGUCCAGACUCCUACGGGAGGCAGCAGUGAGGAAUAUUGGUCAAUGGGCGUAAGCCUGAACCAGCCAAGUAGCGUGCAGGAUGACGGCCCUAUGGGUUGUAAACUGCUUUUAUGCGGGGAUAAAGUGGCCCACGUGUGGGUUUUUGCAGGUACCGCAUGAAUAAGGACCGGCUAAUUCCGUG